rnacentral:lncRNA from 1 species
CUGGACUGAUCAUCCAGAAAUAGUUUCAUGGCAGAAAGCUCAUCAUUGUCAUCCCCGGUAAUAAUAAUGUCAUCCACAUAGACGGCUACAACGACAAGACAACCAGGUUGGCCUUUGAUAAACAUAGAAUAAUCAUUCAAAGAAUGUGUAUAUCCUCUGGAGUAGAGAGCAGAAGACAGUUUAGCAUACCAUUGUCUGGAUGCCUGUCUCAACCCAUACAAAGAAUAUGUAUAUCCUCUGGAGUAGAGAGCAGAAGACAGUUUAGCAUACCAUUGUCUGGAUGCUUGUCUCAACCCAUAAAGAGACUUUUUCAACUUACAGACAAGAGGAGGAGAUGCAGAGGAAAUAAAAUCAGUAGAAGGAACAGAAACUGUUAAACCUGGAGGGAGCUUCAUAUAGACCUCAUCAUCCAAAUCACCAUGAAAGAAAGCAUUGUUAACAUCAAGUUGAAAAAGAUUCCAAUGGUUCUUAACAUACACUGCAAUAAGACACAUAAUAGUGGACAUUUUAACCACAGGAGAAAAAGUGUCAGUGAAAUCAACUCCUUCAAUUUGAGUGUCCCCUCUAAUAACAAGUCUAGCUUUAUAUCUUUCUACACUACCAUCAACCUUAUAAUUGAUCUUAUAAACCCAUUUGCAGCCUAUGGGUUUCUUGACAGGAGGAAGUGGAACAACAUCCCAGGUAUGAUUGGCAUCCAAAGCAUCAAACUCCUUUCUCAUGGCAUCCUGCCAUACUGGAACUGAUGCAGCUUGAGAGUAAUAGAGAGGUUCAGAAUCCAGAGGAAAAGAAGAAGAUCCAGAGAAGGCAGAAAUAUGACAGACAUAAUCCUUAACAUAAGAAGGAGGAUUGUGAUAUCUUCCAGAUUUUCUGGGAACAUUAGGUGAUGUGGAAGAAGGAAAAGCAGGAGGAGAAAUAUCAGGGUUGAAAGGAGGACUGGAAACUGGAUUAGAAGAAGGAGAAACUGGGGCAGGAGGAGAAGGAGGAGAGGAACAGAUAGGGACAGACAAGUCUGUCUCAGAAAGGGAAUGUGCAAGAGGAGGAACAAAAGGAAAAGAAGAGGGAGAAACAUAAGGAGUGGGGUUAACAGAAGAAUCAGAUUUAAAAGGAAAAGAAGCUCAUGAAAGACAACAUCCCUGGACACAGAGCACUUUUUGGAAGUGAGAUCAUACAGUCUAUAACCCUUUUUAGCAAAAGGAUACCCUAGGAAGACACAGGAAAUGGCCCAGGUUUCAACUUGUCCCUUUGAGGAAUUGGGACAGCAGCAUAGGCAAGGCAACCAAAUGCCCUUAACUAGGAGUAUGUAGGUUCCUUUCCAUGCAAAAUUUCAUAAAGGGAUUUGCCUUGAAGGAGCCUGGAGGGUAUUCUGUUAAUAAGGUAAGUAGCAGUCAAUAGGCAGGAGUAAGUAGGUGUGUUUCCAUGCAAAAUUUCAUAAGGGGAUUUUCCUUGAAGGACCCUGGAGGGUAUUCUGUUAAUAAGGUAUGUAGCAGUCAAUAGACAAUCUCCCCAUAAAGAGAUGGAUAAACCAGAUUGGAAGAGUAAGGCUCUACAGGUUUCAAGAAGAUACCUAUGUUUCCUUUCAACAACACCAUUCUAUUGAGGAGUACGGGGACAAGUUGUUUGAUGAAUAAUGCUUUGUUGGCUAAAGAAGGAUGCACCAGCAAUACUAGACCCCAAUUCCAAAGCAUUGUCACUCCUAAUAGUUCGAACAACAGCAUUAAACUGGGUUUUAACCAUACACAGAAAAGACUUAAGCAUGCAUAAUCACUCUCAGAGCAAUACUAGACCCCAAUUCCAAAGCAUUGUCACUCCUAAUAGUUUGAACAACAGCAUUAAACUAGGUUUUAACCAUACACAGAAAGACUUAAGCAUGCAGAAAGUAUUGCUUUUAGACCCCAAUAAAUGUGUCCAGGUUACUUUAGAAAAGUCAUUAACUAUUGAUAGAAAGUAUCUAGAGCCAUAAGAAGUGGGAGUGUGAUAAGGACCCCAAGUAUCUACAUGAAUCAAUUGGAAAGGUCUAGAUCUACUUGUUGUUCUAUCAGAAAAGGGAAGUCUAGUUUGUCUAGCCAUAGGACAAAUAGAACAAUGGAAAGGCUGUUUAGAAGCAAAUGGAAAAGACAAGGCAGAAAUGUGUUUCAUGUUUGCAAAUGAAAUAUGAUUUGUCUAGCCAUAGGACAAAUAGAACAAUGGAAAGGCUGUUUAGAAGCAAAUGGAGAAGACAAGGCAGAAAUAUGUUUCAUGUUUGCAAAUGAAAUAUGAGCCAACCUCAAAUGCCAAAUGUAAUUCAUGUAAGUAGUAACAACAUUAUUACAGAUGGAACUAUUUACAGUUGAAGGUAAAGCAACAACUUUAUGACUA